rnacentral:rRNA from 1 species
AAGUAUAGCCAUAGAGGGUGAUAGUCCCGUAUGCGAAAAACAAACCUUAGCUAGCAGUAUCCUGAGUAGGGCGGGACACGAGAAAUCCUGUCUGAAGCUGGGUCGACCACGAUCCAACCCUAAAUACUAAUACCAGAUCGAUAGUGCACAAGUACCGUGAGGGAAAGGUGAAAAGAACUGAGGUGAUCAGAGUGAAAUAGAACCUGAAACCAUUUGCUUACAAUCAUUCAGAGCCCUAUGUAGCAAUACAGGGUGAUGGACUGCCUUUUGCAUAAUGAGCCUGCGAGUUGUGGUGUCUGGCAAGGUUAAGCAAACGCGAAGCCGUAGCGAAAGCGAGUCUGAAUAGGGCGCUUAGUCAGAUGCUGCAGACCCGAAACGAAGUGAUCUAUCCAUGAGCAAGUUGAAGCUAGUGUAAGAACUAGUGGAGGACUGAACCCAUAGGCGUUGAAAAGCCCCGGGAUGACUUGUGGAUAGGGGUGAAAGGCCAAUCAAACUUCGUGAUAGCUGGUUCUCUCCGAAAUAUAUUUAGGUAUAGCGUUGUGUCGUAAUAUAAGGGGGUAGAGCACUGAAUGGGCUAGGGCAUACACCAAUGUACCAAACCCUAUCAAACUCCGAAUACCUUAUAUGUAAUCACAGCAGUCAGGCGGCGAGUGAUAAAAUCCGUCGUCAAGAGGGAAACAACCCAGACUACCAGCUAAGGUCCCUAAAUCUUACUUAAGUGGAAAACGAUGUGAAGUUACUUAAACAACCAGGAGGUUGGCUUAGAAGCAGCCAUCCUUUAAAGAAAGCGUAAUAGCUCACUGGUCUAGUGAUUUUGCGCGGAAAAUAUAACGGGGCUAAAGUAAGUACCGAAGCUGUAGACUUGCGCACAACUUAGAUUAUUUAAGUUUAGAAUAUGAGAAACUAAGUUAUAUGUUUAGUUAUAUUUUUACUGAUUUUUAUAGAGUAAAGAUAGAAAUAAAACUUAGUAAAAUCAGUAAAAAUAUUCUUAGACUAAAGUUAAGUAGUUUAAGUUGUGUGCAAGUGGUAGGAGAGCGUUCUAUUUGCGUCGAAGGUAUACCGGUAAGGAGUGCUGGAGCGAAUAGAAGUGAGCAUGCAGGCAUGAGUAGCGAUAAUUAAUGUGAGAAUCAUUAACGCCGUAAACCCAAGGUUUCCUACGCGAUGCUCGUCAUCGUAGGGUUAGUCGGGUCCUAAGUCGAGUCCGAAAGGGGUAGACGAUGGCAAAUUGGUUAAUAUUCCAAUACCAACAUUAGUGUGCGAUGGAAGGACGCUUAGGGCUAAGGGGGCUAGCGGAUGGAAGUGCUAGUCUAAGGUCGUAGGAGGUUAUACAGGCAAAUCCGUAUAACAAUACUCCGAGAACUGAAAGGCUUUUUGAAGUCUUCGGAUGGAUAGAAGAACCCCUGAUGCCGUCGAGCCAAGAAAAGUUUCUAAGUUUAGCUAAUGUUGCCCGUACCGUAAACCGACACAGGUGGGUGGGAUGAGUAUUCUAAGGCGCGUGGAAGAACUCUCUUUAAGGAACUCUGCAAAAUAGCACCGUA